rnacentral:pre_miRNA from 1 species
AUCGUACUCCUCCGUCCAAAAUUACUUGUCAUGGAAAUGGAUGUAUGUAGACGUAUUUGAGUUUUAGAUACAUUUAAUAUUAUUUAUUUUUGCGACAAGUAAUUCAGGACAGAGGGAGUAGGCU